UAAGGCUUUUCACCAGUGUGUAUCCGUAAAUGAUCUUUCAAUUCUUUAUCUUGACUAAAUUGCUUAAAACAAAUUUCACACUUGUAAGGCUUUUCACCAGUGUGUAUCCGUAAAUGAUCUUUCAAUUCUUUAUCUUGACUAAACUGCUUAAAACAAAUUUCACACUUGUAAGGCUUUUCACCAGUGUGUAUCCGUAAAUGAUCUUUCAAUUCUUUAUCUUGACUAAAUUGCUUAAAACAAAUUUCACACUUGUAAGGAUUUUC